rnacentral:rRNA from 1 species
GACGUAGGGCGCGAGCGUUGUCCGGAUUUAUUGGGCGUAAAGAGCUCGUAGGCGGCUCAUUGCGUCAACCGUGAAAACCAGCAGCUCAACUGUUGGCUUGCGGUUGAUACGGGUGGGCUGGAGUUCGGUAGGGGAGACUGGAAUUCCUGGUGUAGCGGUGAAAUGCGCAGAUAUCAGGAGGAACACCGGUGGCGAAGGCGGGGUCUCUGGGCCGAAACUGACGCUGAGGAGCGAAAGCGUGGGGAGCAAACAGG